GCCGGCAGCUAGCUCUCUUCAACUCUCACAUGUUCGCCCACUGAAGCUAAGCAGGGCUGCACCUGGGUAGUACCUGGAUGGGAGACCACAUGAGAAAGCUAGUUUGCUGCCGGAA
rnacentral:rRNA from 1 species